CAGUAGCCACGGGAAUACAGAGGGUGCAAGCGUUAAUCGGAAUUACUGGGCGUAAAGCGCGCGUAGGUGGUUUGUUAAGUUGGAUGUGAAAUCCCCGGGCUCAACCUGGGAACUGCAUUCAAAACUGACUGACUAGAGUAUGGUAGAGGGUGGUGGAAUUUCCUGUGUAGCGGUGAAAUGCGUAGAUAUAGGAAGGAACACCAGUGGCGAAGGCGACCACCUGGACUAAUACUGACACUGAGGUGCGAAAGCGUGGGGAGCAAACAGGAUUAGAUACCCCCGUAGUCCCUGUCUCUUAUAC
rnacentral:rRNA from 1 species